GAUGAAGAACGUAGCGAAAUGCGAUAAGUAGUGUGAAUUGCAGAAUUCAGUGAAUCAUCGAAUCUUUGAACGCACAUUGCGCCCCUUGGUAUUCCAUGGGGCAUGCCUGUUCGAGCGUCAUUUGUACCUUCAAGCUUUGCUUGGUGUUGGGUGUUUGUCCUGAGGGACUCGCCUUAAAGUAAUUGGCAGCCAGUGUUUGGUUUUGAAGCGCAGCACAAGUCGCGAUUCAAAGCUAUACGCCCGCUUCCACAAGCCUUUUUCACUUUUGACCUCGGAUCAGGUAGGGAUACCCGCUGAACUUAAGCAUAUCAAUAAGGGAGGA
rnacentral:misc_RNA from 1 species